rnacentral:rRNA from 1 species
UUCGCCCUUAGAGUUUGAUCCUGGCUCAGGACGAACGCUGGCGGCGCGCCUAACACAUGCAAGUCGAACGAGCGAGAGAGAGCUUGCUUUCUCGAGCGAGUGGCGAACGGGUGAGUAACGCGUGAGGAACCUGCCUCAAAGAGGGGGACAACAGUUGGAAACGACUGCUAAUACCGCAUAAGCCCACGGCUCGGCAUCGAGCAGAGGGAAAAGGAGCAAUCCGCUUUGAGAUGGCCUCGCGUCCGAUUAGCUAGUUGGUGAGGUAAUGGCCCACCAAGGCGACGAUCGGUAGCCGGACUGAGAGGUUGAACGGCCACAUUGGGACUGAGACACGGCCCAGACUCCUACGGGAGGCAGCAGUGGGGAAUAUUGCACAAUGGGGGAAACCCUGAUGCAGCGACGCCGCGUGGAGGAAGAAGGUCUUCGGAUUGUAAACUCCUGUUGUUGGGGAAGAUAAUGACGGUACCCAACAAGGAAGUGACGGCUAACUACGUGCCAGCAGCCGCGGUAAAACGUAGGUCACAAGCGUUGUCCGGAAUUACUGGGUGUAAAGGGAGCGCAGGCGGGAAGACAAGUUGGAAGUGAAAUCUAUGGGCUCAACCCAUAAACUGCUUUCAAAACUGUUUUUCUUGAGUAGUGCAGAGGUAGGCGGAAUUCCCGGUGUAGCGGUGGAAUGCGUAGAUAUCGGGAGGAACACCAGUGGCGAAGGCGGCCUACUGGGCACCAACUGACGCUGAGGCUCGAAAGUGUGGGUAGCAAACAGGAUUAGAUACCCUGGUAGUCCACACCGUAAACGAUGAUUACUAGGUGUUGGAGGAUUGACCCCUUCAGUGCCGCAGUUAACACAAUAAGUAAUCCACCUGGGGAGUACGACCGCAAGGUUGAAACUCAAAGGAAUUGACGGGGGCCCGCACAAGCAGUGGAGUAUGUGGCUUAAUUCGACGCAACGCGAAGAACCUUACCAAGUCUUGACAUCCCUUGACAGGCAUAGAAAUAUGUUUUCUCUUCGGAGCAAGGAGACAGGUGGUGCAUGGUUGUCGUCAGCUCGUGUCGUGAGAUGUUGGGUUAAGUCCCGCAACGAGCGCAACCCUUAUGGUCAGUUACUACGCAAGAGGACUCUGGCCAGACUGCCGUUGACAAAACGGAGGAAGGUGGGGAUGACGUCAAAUCAUCAUGCCCUUUAUGACUUGGGCUACACACGUACUACAAUGGCGUUAAACAAAGAGAAGCAAGACCGCGAGGUGGAGCAAAACUCAGAAACAACGUCCCAGUUCGGACUGCAGGCUGCAACUCGCCUGCACGAAGUCGGAAUUGCUAGUAAUCGUGGAUCAGCAUGCCACGGUGAAUACGUUCCCGGGCCUUGCACACACCGCCCGUCA